GAUGAACGCUGGCGGCGUGCCUAAUACAUGCAAGUCGAGCGAACAGACGAGGAGCUUGCUCCUCUGACGUUAGCGGCGGACGGGUGAGUAACACGUGGAUAACCUACCUAUAAGACUGGGAUAACUUCGGGAAACCGGAGCUAAUACCGGAUAAUAUAUUGAACCGCAUGGUUCAAUAGUGAAAGACGGUUUUGCUGUCACUUAUAGAUGGAUCCGCGCCGCAUUAGCUAGUUGGUAAGGUAACGGCUUACCAAGGCAACGAUGCGUAGCCGACCGGAGAGGGUGAUCGGCCACACUGGAACUGAGACACGGUCCAGACUCCUACGGGAGGCAGCAGUAGGGAAUCUUCCGCAAUGGGCGAAAGCCUGACGGAGCAACGCCGCGUGAUUGAUGAAGGUCUUCGGAUCGUAAAACUCUGUUAUUAGGGAAGAACAAAUGUGUAAGUAACUAUGCACGUCUUGACGGUACCUAAUCAGAAAGCCACGGCUAACUACGUG
rnacentral:rRNA from 1 species